rnacentral:rRNA from 1 species
CCUACGUGUGGCAGCAGUGAGGAAUAUUGGUCAAUGGGCUUACGCCUGAACCAGCCAAGUAGCGUGAGGGAAGACUGCCCUAUGGGUUGUAAACCUCUUUUGUCAGGGAGCAAAUGGCGCUACGUGUAGCGUUAUCGAUAGUACAUGUAGAAAAAGCAUCGGCUAACCCCGUGCAAGCAGCCGCGGUAAUACGGGGGAUCCGAGCGUUAUCCGGAUUUAUUGGGUUUAAAGGGUGCGUAGGCGGGCUUUUAAGUCGGCGGUGAAAGUCUGCGGCUCAACCAUAGAAUUGCCGUUGAAACUGGGAGGCUUGAGUAUGUUUGAGGCAGGCGGAAUGCGUGGUGUAGCGAUGAAAUGCUUAGAUAUCACGCAGAACCCCGAUUGCGAAGGCAGCCUGCCAAGCCAUGACUGACGCUGAUGCACGAAAGCGUGGGGAUCAAACAGGAUUAGAUACCCGUGUAGUC